GUGUUGUAUAAAAGGAGAGACGGUUAGCACUCCCCUUGAUAGUG
rnacentral:snRNA from 1 species